CCUACGGGCGGCAGCAGUGAGGAAUAUUGGUCAAUGGACGAGAGUCUGAACCAGCCAAGUAGCGUGAAGGAUGACUGCCCUCUGGGUUGUAAACUUCUUUUAUAAAGGAAUAAAACGAGGCACGUGUGCCUUUUUGCAUGUACUUUAUGAAUAAGGAUCGGCUAACUCCGUGCCAGCAGCCGCGGUAAUACGGAGGAUCCGAGCGUUAUCCGGAUUUAUUGGGUUUAAAGGGAGCGUAGAUGGGUUGUUAAGUCAGUUGUGAAAGUUUGCGGCUCAACCGUAAAAUUGCAAUUGAUACUGGCAGUCGUGAGUACAGUUGAGGUAGGCGGAAUUCGUGGUGUAGCGGUGAAAUGCUUAGAUAUCACGAAGAACCCCGAUUGCGAAGGCAGCUUACUAAACUGUGACUGACAUUGAUGCUCGAAAGUGUGGGUAUCAAACAGGAUUAGAUACCCUUGUAGUC
rnacentral:rRNA from 1 species